AAUCAACGCUGGCGGCGUGCCUAACACAUGCAAGUCGAACGUGAAAGCCCCGCAAGGGGUGAGUAGAGUGGCGCACGGGUGAGUAACACGUGGAUAACCUGCCUUUGAGUGGGGAAUAACCUUCCGAAAGGAGGGCUAAUACCGCAUGAUACCCUUAGACAAAGGUCAGAGGGUUGAAAGGAGCAAUUCGCUCAGAGAGGGGUCCGCGCCUGAUUAGCUAGUUGGUGGGGUAACGGCCUACCAAGGCUUCGAUCAGUAGCCGUCCUGAGAGGGAGCACGGCCACACUGGAACUGAGACACGGUCCAGACUCCUACGGGAGGCAGCAGUGGGGAAUUUUUGGCAAUGGGCGAAAGCCUGACCAAGCAACGCCGCGUGGGUGAUGAAGUAUCUUGGUACGUAAAACCCUUUCGGCAGGGACGAACCUAAUGACGGUACCUGCGGAAGAAGCCCCGGCUAACUCCGUGCCAGCAGCCGCCGUAAUAC
rnacentral:rRNA from 1 species